rnacentral:rRNA from 1 species
UACAGAGGUCUCAAGCGUUGUUCGGAUUCAUUGGGCGUAAAGGGCGCGUAGGCGGCGCGGUAAGUCGGGCGUGAAAUCUCGGGGCUUAACUCCGAAACUGCAUUCGAUACUGCCGUGCUUGAGGACUGGAGAGGAGACUGGAAUUUACGGUGUAGCGGUGAAAUGCGUAGAUAUCGUAAGGAAGACCAGUGGCGAAGGCGGGUCUCUGGACAGUUCCUGACGCUGAGGCACGAAGGCCAGGGGAGCAAACGGG